UACAGAGGUCUCAAGCGUUGUUCGGAUUCAUUGGGCGUAAAGGGUGCGUAGGCGGCGCGGUAAGUCGGGUGUGAAAUCUCGGAGCUUAACUUCGAAACUGCAUUCGAUACUGCCGUGCUUGAGGACUGGAGAGGAGACUGGAAUUUACGGUGUAGCGGUGAAAUGCGUAGAUAUCGUAAGGAAGACCAGUGGCGAAGGCGGGUCUCUGGACAGUUCCUGACGCUGAGGCGCGAAGGCCAGGGGAGCAAACGGG
rnacentral:rRNA from 1 species